rnacentral:tRNA from 1 species
GGGUGAUUAGCUCAGCGGUAGAGCGCUUCGUUCACAUCGAAGAUGUCGGGGGUUCAAAUCCCUCAUCACCCACCA